rnacentral:rRNA from 1 species
GCCUAUGUCUACACCACCCUGAAUGUACCUGAUCUCAUCUGAUCUCUCAAGCUAAGCAGGGUCGGGCCGAGUUGGUACUUGCAUGGAAGUAAUAAUCUGCUUGUUUUUUCUGUGUGUUGUCUCCU